rnacentral:rRNA from 1 species
CUGAGAGGAUGACCAGCCACACUGGAACUGAGACACGGUCCAGACUCCUACGGGAGGCAGCAGUGGGGAAUAUUGCACAAUGGGCGCAAGCCUGAUGCAGCCAUGCCGCGUGUAUGAAGAAGGCCUUCGGGUUGUAAAGUACUUUCAGCGGGGAGGAAGGGAGUAAAGUUAAUACCUUUGCUCAUUGACGUUACCCGCAGAAGAAGCACCGGCUAACUCCGUGCCAGCAGCCGCGGUAAUACGGAGGGUGCAAGCGUUAAUCGGAAUUACUGGGCGUAAAGCGCACGCAGGCGGUUUGUUAAGUCAGAUGUGAAAUCCCCGGGCUCAACCUGGGAACUGCAUCUGAUACUGGCAAGCUUGAGUCUCGUAGAGGGGGGUAGAAUUCCAGGUGUAGCGGUGAAAUGCGUAGAGAUCUGGAGGAAUACCGGUGGCGAAGGCGGCCCCCUGGACGAAGACUGACGCUCAGGUGCGAAAGCGUGGGGAGCAAACAGGAU